CCUACGGGGGGCAGCAGUGAGGAAUAUUGGUCAAUGGACGAGAGUCUGAACCAGCCAAGUAGCGUGAAGGAUGACUGCCCUAUGGGUUGUAAACUUCUUUUAUAUGGGAAUAAAACGUUCCAUGUGUGGGAUUUUGUAUGUACCAUAUGAAUAAGGAUCGGCUAACUCCGUGCCAGCAGCCGCGGUAAUACGGAGGAUCCGAGCGUUAUCCGGAUUUAUUGGGUUUAAAGGGAGCGUAGGUGGAUUGUUAAGUCAGUUGUGAAAGUUUGCGGCUCAACCGUAAAAUUGCAGUUGAAACUGGCAGUCUUGAGUACAGUAGAGGUGGGCGGAAUUCGUGGUGUAGCGGUGAAAUGCUUAGAUAUCACGAAGAACUCCGAUUGCGAAGGCAGUUCACUGGACUGCAACUGACACUGAGGCUCGAAAGUGUGGGUAUCAAACAGGAUUAGAUACCCCGGUAGUC
rnacentral:rRNA from 1 species